rnacentral:lncRNA from 1 species
GGGGGAAAAGGCACUGCAUCCAAGCUUCCAUCUGCAACCAUUGAUUCUGAAGUGACCAGAUGCAAUGGCUCACAUCUGUAAUUCCAGCACUUUGGGAGGCUGAGGCAGGAGGAUCACUUGAGGCCAGGAGUUGGAGGCGAGCCUGAACAAAAGAGAAAGAUGCCAUCUGUAUAAAUACAUAAAUGCAUAAAUAAAUAUACACAUCAUACAAUAUUUUCUUUCAUUUAAAAAAACUUUAAAUCAUAUUGACAAGAAAACUGACCAACUACAUUAACAUUUGAUUCAAAAUGAUAUCCUACUUUAGCCUUAAAAAACUUGUUUUUUCAUAAGUGUUCAUGAUUUUUAAAGGAAAUCUAUAUUCAAAAAAAUAAUUUGCCACCAUCGAGUUUCCUCAAGAGAAUGUGCCAUCUACCAACACAUAAAUUUAAUUGCAUGCAGAUAUAAAUAUUCUCUGACUGGACAUUUUAAAUAGGCACAUCUCCACAAGAAGACUGUUCUGUAAAAUGUUAUCUAUUAUUUUGAUAAUUCAAACAAAUUAUAACAACAAUCGCAACAAUAAUAAACAAUAUUUCAGGCAAA